AGAAACUCCUGAACAUUACUAAAC
rnacentral:piRNA from 1 species